rnacentral:rRNA from 1 species
UACGUAGGGGGCAAGCGUUGUUCGGAAUUAUUGGGCGUAAAGGGCGCGUAGGCGGCCAUGCGUGUCUUCCGUGAAAUCCCUCGGCUUAACCGAGGACGUGCGGAAGAAACUGCAAGGCUCGAGUCCGGAAGAGGGGGGCGGAAUUCCCAGUGUAGCGGUGAAAUGCGUAGAUAUUGGGAGGAACACCAGUGGCGAAGGCGGUCCCCUGGGCCGGAACUGACGCUGAGGCGCGAAAGCGUGGGUAGCAAACGGG